GACGAACGCUGGCGGCGUGCUUAACACAUGCAAGUCGAACGGAAAGGCCCUGCUUUUGUGGGGUGCUCGAGUGGCGAACGGGUGAGUAACACGUGAGUAACCUGCCCUUGACUUUGGGAUAACUUCAGGAAACUGGGGCUAAUACCAGAUAGGAGCUCCUGCUGCAUGGUGGGGGUUGGAAAGUUUCGGCGGUUGGGGAUGGACUCGCGGCUUAUCAGCUUGUUGGUGGGGUAGUGGCUUACCAAGGCUUUGACGGGUAGCCGGCCUGAGAGGGUGACCGGCCACAUUGGGACUGAGAUACGGCCCAGACUCCUACGGGAGGCAGCAGUGGGGAAUAUUGCACAAUGGGCGGAAGCCUGAUGCAGCAACGCCGCGUGCGGGAUGACGGCCUUCGGGUUGUAAACCGCCUUCGCCUGUGACGAAGCGUGAGUGACGGUAAUGGGUAAAGAAGCACCGGCUAACUACGUG
rnacentral:rRNA from 1 species